UACAGAGGUCCCGAGCGUUGUUCGGAUUCACUGGGCGUAAAGUGUGCGCAGGCGGGUUUGCAAGUUCGAUGUGAAAGCCCCGGGCUUAACCCGGGAAUGGCAUUGGAUACUGCAGAUCUGGAGGAUCGGAGGGGGGACUGGAAUUCUUGGUGUAGCAGUGAAAUGCGUAGAUAUCAAGAGGAACACCAGUGGCGAAGGCGAGUCCCUGGACGAUACCUGACACUGAGGCACGAAAGCUAGGGGAGCAAACAGG
rnacentral:rRNA from 1 species